AGUGCCCAAAUAAGACAUACUUACAUGGACAAACCUGUUGUCUUGACUUUUGAGAACAGACAAUUCUUACACUUAAAGCUUCUUAGUAAGCUGACAAGAGUUGAAGUUAACAUGCCACUUGGUUUAAAGAUGAACACUGUCAAUGAAAAUGAAUAUCCGAGUUAGGCGUACAUAUUUAUUUCUGGUGAUUGUCUUAUUAAGAGCAAUAUCCUUAGCAUUUUUGCCUGCUGCUUGACUCAGUGGUACCAAGUCAUGGGAAUUCUCUCCAGGGUCAAAUGUUCCAUUUUUGAAGGUUUUUUAAAAACCUACUUUGAGAACAGAAGCAACCUGUUAGGCUUAUUUUAUGUAAUGGCGAUGCUGUCGGCAAGAGAAUGAUGAGGCUUCAUUUUAUAAGCCGAGGAGAGCGGACGCAGCCAUAUUCCGUCCUGACAGCAUUGGCCCUGGACACAAUAUCUUUCCAAUGUGGAACUGACAAGCCCCUAUGCCUUUAUCUUCAUCUUGAAUGAAAUAUAAGGUACAUGUUUGAACCUUUUCAUGAAUAAAUCUCUUAAGAUUAAUCUUAUAAUACCCAUUUCUUUAUUGUUUUUGUAGUUUAAAGCAGGGCCUCACACCCUAGCCCAGGCUGGUCUAGAACUCACUGUUUAGGAGUUGGCUCCGAAUUCAUGGCACCCACCUGUCUCAGCCCCCAGAAUAUCGGGACCCUAGGCAUGAGCCACCAUGUCUGGCUCUCCACUUCUUGAGAACUGCAGUCGUCCUCUGCCUGUUCACAGCUGCAGUCCUGCGUAAGCCAUUUCACAUAGAGAAGACCAGGUCCUGUGAUCCUCCUCCCUCAAGACCCUGCUGUUUAGAUGCAUUUCACCUCCCAUUUAUUCUUAUAGUAGGAAAUAAUCAGCCUCAGGCCUUAGAGGAAAGUAGGAUUAUCUUAUGUCCUUUAUUCUCUAUAAGAAGCUAAAUAAAUGUUUAGUCGGUUAGUGUUCACCAGGGAAUCUGAAAUGUAUGAUAUAUGAAAACAGUUAGGUUGUAGACAAAGAGGUGAAGCACAUGUUGACUUAAGCUAGGAAAAUGUCAAGAAAGAUUGGAGUCUCCUGCCUGUAGAGAUCUGGAGGGUUGGGGGUUGUAGCUCAGUGCUUUACACUUGACUAGGAUGUCUGAGGCACUGGGUUCCCUCCCCAACCCUCAUCCCUCAAGCACACGAAGAUAUCUGGGGUAAUUUCAUGUAAAAAUUAUUCUCUGUUGAUACCCCAGAAAACUGGUUGCCAAAGGGGCCUCCUUGCCAUUUUGAUAUAACCUAGUUACUACUUGAUCCCUAAUAAAUCUAAAUUUAUCGUGAUUUAUCACAGUAAGUUGAACUAGAAACUAUCCGUUUUCCUAUGGUUUUGCCAAAUUGAAAAUAUUGGUAAGAUAGAUAUUAAUCAUUUUAAAAUGUUUAAUAAAUUUUCCUAUUUUUCAAAGUUCUAAAUUUAUUUAAAAAACUUGAAAUUUUAUAGGUGGGGUUAUCCAUUAGGGCUAUUUUCAAAGCUUCACAUUUUUAAGCUAAUUGUUUUUUAUUAAUUUACUGUUUACUUUCCUUGGCAGAUAAACGCCAACCUGCAGCUCUAAAGAUACAGCCGUACAGCUGUUUCUGUUUGUGUGGGUGUCCAUCACUGCCUCAGAUGAGUGGGUGGAGGAGGGUCUCUUUCCCGGUUUCCUCACAGUUCCCUCUGCGCACUGGAUCCCCAGUGAGAUCAGUGUGGGGGUUACUGAGAUAGCUGUGUUUCAGGUGUAGGUAACAAAGCUUAAUGUUUUAAAUGUUUUGUUUCACAAAAAUGCUUUUCAAGUACAGUGAAGUAGCCCAGGAGAUGCAUUACUCGGACAUACAGCUCUUGACAUCUGUGUUCACAAGUGCAUGUUUUUGGAAAUUACCUCUUGAAAAACAACUAAGGCUAAGGAUACAAAAACCUGCAUUUGUAGUAGUCCAGAAUUUUCCAUUGGUCCAUUAUACCAUGUAUGGAGAGGUGAAGACAAUUUUGUAUAUUUGUUACUAACUCAGAUCAUUAAAGUGAAAACACUUUUUUUAAAC
rnacentral:lncRNA from 1 species